CGCCUAAAACCUAGCUUCAAUAACCCACAUGACCUCCCUCAACUCUUUAACAACAAUAAAACAUUUUAACCAUUAAGUAGAGGCGAUCAAAAAAUGUCUUAAAGCUACACAACUAGUACCGCAAGGGAAAGGUGAAAUAGAAAUGAAAUAAUUCUUAAGCCCCAAAAAGCAGAGCCUUAACCUCGUACCUUUUGCAUCAUGGUUUAGCUAGUCUAACCAAGCAAAACGCACUUUCAGUUUGACCCCCCGAAACUAAGCGAGCUACUUUAAAACAGCCUUUAGGGCGAACCCGUCUCUGUUGCAAAAGAGUGGGAAGAUUUUUAAGUAGAGGUGAUAAACCUACCGAGCCUAGAGAUAGCUGGUUAUUCAGGAAAAGGAUUUUAGUCCUACCUUAAGUUAUCCAUGUAACACUUAAUACAACUAAUUAACUUAAGAGCUAUUCAAAUAAGGUACAGCCUAUUUGAACCAGGGUACAACCUACAACAACGGGUAACGACUGUAAUUUUAUAAUAAAGUGGGCCUAACAGCAGCCACCUUUUAAAAAGCGUUAAAGCUUAAUUAUAAAUUUUUAUUAAUUUCAUCUAUUAAUCGAAACCCUUCACCUAUACUGAAUGACUUCAUAAUGUAUGAAGGACCAUAUGCUAAAACUAGUAACAAGAAGAAGACCUUCUCUAAAAUGCAAGCGUAAAUCAUAAUGAACAACUCACUGAUAGUUAACGUUCAUGAACCUAAAGUAGUAACUCAUCAAGAAAACCCUACUUUCCAUCACGUCAACCUUACACUAGCGCAUUUCUAGAAAGAUUUAAAGAAGGGGAAGGAACUCGGCAAACUACUAACCCCGCCUGUUUACCAAAAACAUCGCCUCCUGAUAACCAUAGGAGGUCCAGCCUGCCCAGUGACAAGUUAAACGGCCGCGGUACCCUAACCGUGCAAAGGUAGCACAAUCACUUGUUCUUUAAAUGAGGACUAGUAUGAACGGCAUCACGAGGGUUAUACUGUCUCCCCCCUCCAAUCAGUGAAACUGACCCCCCCGUGAAGAAGCGGGGAUAUAAAUAUAAGACGAGAAGACCCCAUGGAGCUUUAAACUCAGUACCACCUGCCUUAACUAACAUCCUACUAACCAGGCAGUUUUGACUACUAGUUUUCGGUUGGGGUGACCACGGAGUAAAACAAAACCUCCGCGAUGAAAGGAACUGACUUCCUUAUCCAAGAGCCACAACUCUAAGAAUCAAACCAUUGACAAAACUUGAUCCAAAUAUUUUUGAUCAACGAACCAAGUUACCCUGGGGAUAACAGCGCAAUCCACUUCAAGAGCCCCUAUCGACAAGUGGGUUUACGACCUCGAUGUUGGAUCAGGGUAUCCUAGUGGCGCAGCCGCUACUAAAGGUUCGUUUGGUCAACGAUUAAAACCCU
rnacentral:rRNA from 1 species